rnacentral:rRNA from 1 species
CACGUAGGGCGCAAGCGUUGUCCAGAAUUAUUGGACGUAAAGAGCUCGUAGGCGGUCUGUUGCGUCCGCUGUGAAAACUCGGGGCUUAACCCCGAGCCUGCAGUGGAUACGGGCAGACUAGAGGUAGGUAGGGGAGAAUGGAAUUCCCGGCGUAGCGGUGAAAUGCGCAGAUAUCAGGAGGAACACCGGUGGCGAAGGCGGGUCUCUGGGCCGAUACUGACGCUGAGGAGCGAAAGCGUGGGGAGCGAACAGG